GGGUCAGUAGGUUGGUCGUGCCACCGGUACGUACUGGUCUCACUGAUUCCUCCUUCCUGAAGAACCGUAAUGCCAUUAAUUUGGUGUUGCGGGGAAACAGGACUGUUACUUUGAAAAAAUUAGAGUGUUUAAGGCAAGCUAACGCUUGAAUACAUUAGCAUGGAGUAAUGAAAUAGGACGAUCGAUCCUAUUUUGUUGGUUUCUAGGAUUGACGUA
rnacentral:rRNA from 1 species